rnacentral:rRNA from 1 species
GACGAACGCUGGCGGCGUGCUUAACACAUGCAAGUCGAACGGAAAGGCCCUGCUUUUGUGGGGUGCUCGAGUGGCGAACGGGGGAGUAACACGUGAGUAACCUGCCCUUCACUUUGGGGUAACUUCAGGAAACUGGGGCUAAUACCGGAUAGGAGCUCCUGCUGCGUGGUGGGGGUUGGAAAGUUUCGGCGGUUGGGGAUGGACUCGCGGCUUAUGAGCUUGUUGGUGGGGGAGUGGCUUACCAAGCCUUUGACGGGUAGCCGGCCUGAGAGGGUGACCGGCCACAUUGGGCCUGAGAUACGGCCCAGACGCGUACGGGAGGCAGCAGUGGGGAAUAUUGCACAAUGGGCGGAAGCCUGAUGCAGCAACGCCGCGUGCGGGAUGACGGCCUUCGGGUUGUAAACCGCUUUCGCCUGUGACGAAGCGUGAGUGACGGUAAUGGGUAAAGAAGCACCGGCUAACUACGUG